AUCCAUAGGUCGCUGGUUCAAAUCCGGCUCG
rnacentral:piRNA from 1 species